ACGGUGCAGACCACUCCGAGUUGCACAUCACUGUGACUGCACACUUUUUGUGCCGCAAAUACCACACGCUUCGGUUGUGAUUUUUUUGGGGGGUGAGUGGUUGUGCAAUCUGAAGGUUGGACUUGAGCUCGUUAUUAUUUUUUUUUUUUGGUGUGGGGGGGACUUUAGUGAGGAAGAGGAGGAGUAGCGUGAGCCUGAUGUGCAACAGAAUGGCGUUGAUAUCAACUAAAAAGUUGCCAUCGGAGGGCAAAAGGCCAGCAAGGGUGAGGCCGAGGGGCUGCAGAUGGAAACAAGUGGGUGGUUGCAAGGCUGGAUGACUGAACUCAGAGACGACCCCCUCAGUGCAGCUCAUCAUCAUCAUGAUCAUCGCCAUGGGCUCUUGUCUUCCUCCUCCUGUGGCCCACACCUCCAUCCAAGGGGUCCAAGCUCAGCACCGUGAACGCCUGAGCAGGAAGUUAUAGUGAGUGGGCAGAGGAAGGAUGGAGAAGAUCCCUGAAGGCUAGAAGCACCUCUGCAUGCAAGAGAAAUCAAUACCAAGUAUGCUUCGCCUUGGAGUGGGGCUUUCCUCUGGUUCUCUGCGGCCUCGGGGCUCACAGGCCUCCAAAGGACGGGCCCUCUCAACUGGACCGGACCCCCUUCUCCACUUGUGUGGUUUUGCUGAAGGGGGUCCCCCAUCACCUUCCAAUCCCAAUACACUGAAAGCUGAGACACAGCCAAGAGGGAUAUUUCUUUUUCUUCAUCUUUCCCCCCCCUGCAACAGAUUGACAUAUCCCUGCCUUCUUUCAAUAGGACUUUUGACUUGCUUCGACGGUGCAACCUUUAGUUUUCCCUCCAUUCUUGCUCUGCUGUUGCUUAGGCGAGCUGAGCAAACCAGAAACUCUUUCUGUUGGACUGAACAGCAAAGAAAGCAAUCUUCUCUAUCUAAAGCCUGGGGACUCCUGGUUGGAAUGGAUCCAUCAGCAUGAGGAGAUUUCACGUCUGAUGACCAGUAGUCAAUGUCAUUAAUUGCCACAUGAAGACUAGAAAUAUCAUUUUCAUAAAAUCUUAUAAUGAUGACGACCAUUGUGGGUUUUCUUCUUGUAUUGAUGAAUACAUUUUGUAGUAAAUAUGUGUACAAUAAAGAACAUUAUGCUUCAGUAUGUUUCUCAUCAU